GACGAACGCUGGCGGCGUGCUUAACACAUGCAAGUCGAACGGAAAGGCCCUGCUUUUGUGGGGUGCUCGAGUGGCGAACGGGUGAGUAACACGUGAGUAACCUGCCCUUGACUUUGGGAUAACUUCAGGAAACUGGGGCUAAUACCGGAUAGGAGCUCCUGCUGCAUGGUGGGGGUUGGAAAGUUUCGGCGGUUGGGGAUGGACUCGCGGCUUAUCAGCUUGUCGGUGGGGUAGUGGCUUACCAAGGCUUUGACGGGUAGCCGGCCUGAGAGGGUGACCGGCCACAUUGGGACUGAGAUACGGCCCAGACUCCUACGGGAGGCAGCAGUGGGGAAUAUUGCACAAUGGGCGGAAGCCUGAUGCAGCAACGCCGUGUGCGGGAUGACGGCCUUCGGGUUGUAAACCGCUUUCGCCUGUGACGAAGCGUGAGUGACGGUAGUGGGUAAAGAAGCACCGGCUAACUACGUG
rnacentral:rRNA from 1 species